GAGGGAAUAGCUCAGUGGUAGAGCACGUGCUUAGCAUGCCCUGGGUCCUAGGUUCAACCCCAGUACCCCCA
rnacentral:tRNA from 1 species